GUAACAAGGUUUCCGUAGGUGAACCUGCGGAAGGAUCAUUAUUGAAUUUUGAAGGAGCUGUUUGCUGGCCCCUUUUACCGGGCAUGUGCACGCUUCGCUCAAUUCCAUCUCCUUACCCCUGUGCACUCAUUGUAGGUCGGUCGGAAGGCCUUCCUAUGUUCUAUUAUAAAUAACCUCAUGAUUGUCGUGGAAUGCAUUGCGUGUAACGCAUCUUUAUACAACUUUCAGCAACGGAUCUCUUGGCUCUCGCAUCGAUGAAGAACGCAGCGAAAUGCGAUAAGUAAUGUGAAUUGCAGAAUUCAGUGAAUCAUCGAAUCUUUGAACGCACCUUGCGCUCCUUGGUACUCCGAGGAGCAUGCCUGUUUGAGUGUCAUGGAAUUCUCAACUCAACCCAUCUUUUAUUAGAUGGGCUGGGCUUGGACUUGGAGGAAAUAUACAUGCUGGCCCUGUGGGGGUCGGCUCCUCUUGAAUGCAUUAGCUGGGACCUCUGUGGAUCGGCUGCUCGGUAUGAUAGUAUUUCUAUGCCGUCGCUGUGAAGCUCUUUUGGCCUCGGCUUCCAACUGUCCCGUCCUGGGUACAACAUCUUUGACCUCUGACCUCAAAUCAGGUAGGAUUACCCGCUGAACUUAAGCAUAUCAAUA
rnacentral:rRNA from 1 species